rnacentral:lncRNA from 1 species
AAGUAAUAAAGAAAAGCAAAGUAAAGAAGCGUGGAAGAGUGGAAAGAUAGGAACUACCUAGACAUAUUCUUUUUCAAUGACAAUCAUGCUCUUUUAGUUUUUUAUGUCUAAGAUUAUUUAGAGAAAAAAUCUUAUUCUACCCUAAAAACCAUCAUGGCAACAAGUUUACUAUUUUGAAACAGGAGAAAAUUCCAUUUUAAAAAUGACAGCGAAUAGGAAGGACAUUCCAUGGUGAAAAUAUUUUCCUUACUUUCAUUCUCAAAAUAUUUGUUAGGACUAAGGGGAAAUAUACAAGUAAAUAUUACUGGAAAAAAUGUAUAGCCCUAUUAAAAUAUAUUUAUUAAGUUGAAAUUCCUUCAAAAUAAAAUUGUCUAGCCAAAGGUGAAAUCUACAAUAUCAGUUCCAAAGCAUUAUUAAGCACCUACAAAGCACAGUACCUAGCUCUGUGGAGGUCACAAAGAUUAAUAAACUUUUCAGAGACCAUGCAAAAUAUAUAUAUAUACUCAUAUUUUAAUACUGUCAAAUUUAGGAACAUCCACAUAAUAUAAUAUUUGGAUCCAAUUAUAUAACCUAUAAACUUUCCUUAAAUCUAUUCCCCAACUAUGGCUAUUUCACAGUUUUCUAAAAGAUAAUGAUAUAAGAAAUAUUUUCCAAUGUGUUUUAGGAUUUAAGGAAUGCUUAUACUUGGGAAACAGAAGAACUCUUUUGCUCGAAAUAUUUCUGAGAUCUUUGAUCCUAUAUCACUCCAAUCAAAAUAGCCUAGCAAAGGAUAUGUAUUAAGUGUAAUCACUUUUAAACAUCAAAAUGCCUCAGUAAAAUUUUCACUGAGUUAAGCUCACUCAAAUAAAUAUGCACAGCAUUAAUUUUACCACGUUACUUUGAAAGAUUUUAAUUUAAAGACAAAAUUCCAAAAAGCUCAUAUCAUACAAGGUUAUAGAAGUUGGAAGUAGUUUUUAAUUAAAUGAGUUUGCACAGGUACAAAAUCACCUGUGCACGAUUCUCCAGCACUUUGAGGUAACAGUUUCAAUAUCUUAACAUGGCCACAAAAAGUCUUUGAAAUAAAAACCUAACUCAUUUUAUGGCCUCAUUGUCCACUGCUUCUGCACCAUAACACAGGACAAUUUUUAGUCUUGCGUUUUUUUCCUUCCCUGCACCAAAAAGUACCUGCCUUUCCUUAACAACUCUGUAAAUAUCACCUAUUCUGCAAGAACUUUCUACAUCCUGGAAAAAAAAAUAGUAUUUCCAUUCUCUAUCAUAGUACUUUAUAUAUAAAUGCUCCAAGUGUUAUAAUAGUUUGUUCAUAUGACUGUCUUUCGCGUUACACUUAAAGCUGCUUCGGGGUGGGCACCAUUCAUAACCAUUUUUUGUAUUCUCGGUACAUGGGCCAGUACCUAGAAUGCAGCAUGUUCUCAGUAACUUGGUAAGUUAAUGAAUGCACAUAAUGGAUAAGGGCAUACAGUAGAAAGUGGCAAAAACAAAUGCACUGUUUUAUUAUGGUGAGCAAACACAAAAUAUCUCUAGGAACUAAUUUUCCUCCUCUCCAAAUUUGCACCCAGGGUUAACUUUUCCCUCUGCGUAUAGAUGAACCUCGCCACAGACAUCAUUUCCUCACAGAUUCACAGAGUUGAAUGUUAGUUUGAGAGAGGGAUUAAUGGUUGAGUCUAGGUAUCUAGACUCAUAUACACCUAUUCUUUCCACUCUCACUCUCAUUUAUUGUGAUCAUGUUCUAUGCCCAGGAGGUUGACCAAUAUGAACUGCAAUCACAAGGUCCCUUGACCUCUGACUUAUAGCAAGGUUAAGCCAAUGAGAAAUUGCUAGCCCAUACUAAAAAGAGAGAAAAGAAACAGGAUUUCCAGCCUUCAGGGCCACUUUGGACAGCCUUCUCCAAAUUUCUCUGUUUUCAUAAUCUAUUAACUUCUCCCUCUCUCUAGUGCUUUAGCCUAAAGGUGGAAGAGAGUGGGUACUACUCAUUAUAGAUCAGAAAUUCCCUAACAUGGCAUUAUCUACAUUCUAUGCAGAAUAAGUAUAUGUUGCAAGGAGCUGCCCAGUGCCUUAUAGGAGGUUUAGCAACAUCCCUGCCAUCUACCCACUAGAUAUAAAUACCUUUUGUAUAGAAACUUGCAGAUUACUUUCAGUUAUUUACUCCCAUUUAAGCUCCAGAACUGUGUAAAUAGAUGUUAUUAUAAUCAUUUUUACAGAUUAGAAAAUGAAACAGUUACAGCACCUAAUAAUCCUGCACCUAAAAAUUCUACAAAGAAAUGGUACAUAUGGAAUUUUUAAAACCAAAAUCAUAAUCUAAUUUUCAUUGUACUGCACUGGCCUUAUAAACAUUAUUAAACUAAACUUCCUUUUAUUACUAUUUUCCUAAAUGCCCGUGUUUUAUCAUCAGGAUUCACUGGUUUCGGAUAAAAUACAAAAGUCAUAGUGGAGUUCUCUGGGCAUAACAUGAAAUAGUUCCAGAGACUGUUCUAUCUUUCCUCCUCUCUUCCCACUACCAUGACGAAGAAAAAAACUUGCACCGAUUGAAAUUUUCUCAUUCAUACAAGACACAGACUGCUAUCGGACUUUAAGAAAUGAUGUCAGCCAUGUGUGCCAUGAAAAAAGUUAUGAAUUCAAAGCAGUAACAGAAGGAGACAUUAUCUUGGAUUCAUUAUCUCCAAAGAAAAUGCAUAUAGGAAUAAAUCGAAUGCAUUUGAGGAAGCUACGACUAAAUGCCCUUCUCCAAUUCAUAACAUAUCCCUUCCCCUGUUGAUAAGUACUAGUAUAAUAAUGGUUAAUAUGGACUCUUGCAAGAAAAAAGGUCAUAUGACAUAGUUGUAAGAGAGGAAAGAAUUAUGACUAGUGCCAGAUAUAACUACAUCUUAUUUCCUUUAAGUUGUCCCAGAGAACACCCAUCAGGCUGUCCAUUCAGUGGCAUCAUUGUCAGGCCACUCCUUAGAGAGUAAAGACAUUAUCUUCUGUUGAGUUCCUGUACAUCCCAAGACGGGUGCAUCAUUAUCAAAUUUAACCCUCACAACACCCCUGAAUGGCCAAUAUCACAUAGGAUGUCAAUUAAUGAUAUUGCUAUUCCCAGUGUUCAGAUGGUACUGCUAUGGUUUGAAUGUGUCGCCCCAAAAUUCGUAUAUCAAAAACUUAAUUGCCAUUGUAAUAGUAUUAGGUAGUAGGGCCUUUUAGAAGUGAUUAGGUGAUAAGGAUAUUCAUCUCACAAAGAGAUUAAUGCUGUGUUUCAAGUGGAUUAGUUAUCUCAGGAGUGAGACCCUGAUAAAAAGAAUGAGGCUGGCCCCAUUUGUUCUCUGUCUAAUGUGCUCACUCACGAUGUGUUGCCUUCCAACAUGAGAGGACUCUCUCUAAAUGCCUGUAUCAUGCUCUUGGACUUCUCGGCCACCAGAACUGUGAGCCAAAUAAAUCUUUUUUCUUUAUAAAUUGCCCAGUCUGUGGCAUUCUGUUACAGCACAGAAAACAAACUCAGAUGGAUACUGAAGCUCAAAGAAGUAGGAUGAGACCUACUGUAUCUCAAGCCUGGCCUCACCACCCCUUCUCGGCCUCUGAUUGUAGCAGGUCAGUUAGAUCACAUCCAACAAGCAGAGUAUUUGUAUGUAACAAGCACUUGAUAAGUUGAAUAAAUAGUUUGUAAAAGUUUCUCCAGUCUUGUGCUCCUAUUAAAGUGUGAAACAUUUUUUCACAUUUCAAAAUAUUUGACAGCCUUGUAUAUGAGAAUAAACCUUUCAUUUUACAGAAAAAUAACUGAUUGCUUAAACUUUUGCUAUCUCUGAAUUUGUUUAAAACACUAAUAAAUU